rnacentral:rRNA from 1 species
AUUGAACGCUGGCGGCAGGCUUAACACAUGCAAGUCGAACGAGGGGCGGACGGGGGAGUAAUGCUUGGGAAUCUAGCUUAUGGAGGGGGAUAACUACGGGAAACUGUAGCUAAUACCGCGUACCAUAGGAUGAGCCCAAGUGGGAUUAGGUAGUUGGUGAGGUAAAGGCUCACCAAGCCGACGAUCUCUAGCUGGUCUGAGAGGAUGACCGGCCACACUGGGACUGAGACACGGCCCAGACUCCUACGGGAGGCAGCAGUGGGGAAUCUUGCACAAUGGGCGCAAGCCUGAUGCAGCCACGCCGCGUGUAUGAAGAAGGUCUUAGGGUUGUAAAGCACUGUCAUCGGGGAGGCGUUACUCGCAGAAGAAGCCCCGGCUAACUCCGUGCCAGCAGCCGCGGUAAUUC